AUUGAACGCUGGCGGCAUGCCUUACACAUGCAAGUCGAACGGUAACGCGGGGGCAACCCUGGCGACGAGUGGCGAACGGGUGAGUAAUACAUCGGAACAUAUCCAGUAGCGGGGAUAACCUAUCAAAAGAUUGGCUAAUACCGCAUACGAUCUACGGAUGAAAGCAGGGGACCGCAAGGCCUUGCACUAUUGGAGUGGCCGAUGUCAGAUUAGCUAGUUGGUGGGGUAAAAGCCUACCAAGGCGACGAUCUGUAGCUGGUCUGAGAGGACGAUCAGCCACACUGGAACUGAGACACGGUCCAGACUCCUACGGGAGGCAGCAGUGGGGAAUUUUGGACAAUGGGCGCAAGCCUGAUCCAGCCAUGCCGCGUGAGUGAAGAAGGCCUCGGUGUAAAGGACUCUUUCGGUGUAAGACGAACGGUAAGCGUUAAUAACGACUGACUAAU
rnacentral:rRNA from 1 species